UACGUAGGGUGCAAGCGUUGUCCGGAAUUAUUGGGCGUAAAGAGCUCGUAGGUGGCCUGUCGCGUCGGCUGUGAAAACUCGGGGCUCAACUCCGAGCUUGCAGUCGAUACGGGCAGGCUAGAGUUCGGCAGGGGAGACUGGAAUUCCUGGUGUAGCGGUGGAAUGCGCAGAUAUCAGGAGGAACACCGGUGGCGAAGGCGGGUCUCUGGGCCGAUACUGACACUGAGGAGCGAAAGCGUGGGGAGCGAACAGG
rnacentral:rRNA from 1 species